UCUUUCCCUACACGACUUCUUACGUUGUGGCACUGGAGCGGGGAAAAAUCCCUUGGGUUAAAUGAUCUACCUCUUUAGAGUCUGCUUUCUAGGAAAGAAGCUGCUUUAGUGAUGAGACAAC